rnacentral:lncRNA from 1 species
UCCAACAUGUAGCAGCCAUAUAUAUAGGCAAAACUAAACCUAGUCUAAUAUGGAAACAACUUAAAAACAAGCCCUAAUAAGCCAAACAAGGCCCUUACUACUAAAAUCCGAAAAUAACAAGGCCCUUUAAACUCAUGGGCUGCGAAAAUAACAAAGCUGAAAUAAAUAAAUGAAGUCUUCAAAAUAAAUCAAAUCUUCAAGCUUCGGCCCACUCGCAUGUAAUGAGAUUAAUUAGACUUGGGCCGACUCCACCAUCUCCAAUAGGUCUCUUCAUCAACUCUUGAGCCCACACUUCUUGAACUAAGCUCAUCAAGCUCUCCUUGAACUUCUUGGCUCGUGCUCUUGUAACCGGACCAACAGGAACAUGCACCGGGUCUUG